rnacentral:lncRNA from 1 species
AACAAAAAAAAAAAAAAAAAAAAAAAAAAAAAAAAAAAUGCCCAACAAAAAAAAAAAAAAAAAAAAAAAAAAAAAAAAAAAAAAAAUCAAAAAAAUCAAAAAACACCCAAUUUUAUAAAAACCCCCAAACAUUUUUUUUUUUCUUGGUUACAAAAAGUCCAAACAUUUUAUUACAACACAAAACUGUCUUGAAAAUCGUAACUUCAAGCAUG